GUUAUUCCGCCCAGGUUCACACCAGCCCUGUAAAGUAGGCUGAUCCCAAAAUCACCAGUUAUGCUCCAAUCAGGCGCUGAUGAGUGGCAUCUACCCUCUUUAAUAUAUUUAAUUAUUCACGUUCUUGGUUGAUCAAAUGCUUUGUGGGAAGCCUCCGCGCCCCUCCCCUCCCCCCACAAAUCCUAGAAGAAUGAAAUAUUUUGGGGGAAAUGAAAAAGGCAGGAUAUAAAAUAUUUCCCUCAACAUCUUUUUUACAUCGUGCGACCAAAACUGAAUGCAAUAUUCCAAGUGUGGCCUUACCAAGGCAUUAUAAAGUGGUAUUAACACUGUUAGAUAUGUUCGAGGAUCGUGCCCAAUAACUCCAUAGACAAAAUCCUAGUGUAUCAAGUAUUGUUUAUUAAUUAAGCAUCUUAUCGUUACAGGUACAAGUCUGGAACUGAGGCAGGACCGCAUGGCCGACCCUUAAGUACCCCUGGGGCGUGGCUAAGGGGCGUGCUGCGCAUGCGUGAGGUUCAUUUCUCCCCAGUCGUCGUGGAGUGAGGAGCUCAUCCAUGCUGCUCCCGGAUGAAGGCCCCAAUCUUCCGGAUGGGCCUUCAGCUCCUCUCCGGUUGGCCUUGCCUGCUCGGGGUCGUCGCGGAUCGUCGCCUGGAGCCUCGGAAAACGGUACAAGUCUGGAACUGAGGCAGGACCGCAUGGCCGACCCUUAAGUACCCCUGGGGCGUGGCU